UUGCGAGGGAGGGGAUGGGGAGUGAGAGGCAGGAGGGCCCUGCCAGUCUCUGGUUGGUACAGCUUAGUGGGUGGUGGUGCCAUGGCCGGGAGAAGGAGCAGCUUGGGGCCCCCAGCCUGGCCUGAUGGGAGCACUGGUGAGCCUUUGGUCCCGAUCCAUGCCAGGAUCUGGGACUUGGGAACCAUGAGUGACACAUCUACAUUGGAUGUCAAGCCAUCUGGCCUCCAGAUGUUUUCUGAUCAUUAAAAAAUGCUGAGGCCUCCCCAGACAGCUGGGCCAGGCCUCCUCAGUGGAGCACAGGCUCUCCCCGUCUCCCGACCAUCUUCCCUUUGCUGCAAGCGGCAGAGCCAAGGACCCAGAAAGACUCUGGGAAUAAGACGAACGAGACAGGUUCCUGCCGUCUGGAGUUUCAGCCUCUCCUGGAAGAAGCCUUUGUUUUGCUGUGUUAUCUGAUUAAACUUUCCUGCUCGUGU